rnacentral:rRNA from 1 species
AUUGAACGCUGGCGGCAUGCUUUACACAUGCAAGUCGAACGGUAACAGGGUGCUUGCACCGCUGACGAGUGGCGAACGGGUGAGUAAUGCGUCGGAACGUGCCGAGUAGUGGGGGAUAACGCAGCGAAAGUUGUGCUAAUACCGCAUACGUACUGAGGUAGAAAGUGGGGGACCUUCGGGCCUCACGCUAUUCGAGCGGCCGACGUCUGAUUAGCUAGUAGGUGAGGUAAAGGCUCACCUAGGCGACGAUCAGUAGCGGGUCUGAGAGGAUGAUCCGCCACACUUGGACUGAGACACGGCCCAGACUCCUACGGGAGGCAGCAGUGGGGAAUUUUGGACAAUGGGCGAAAGCCUGAUUCAGCCAUGCCGCGUGUCUGAAGAAGGCCUUCGGGUUGUAAUGGACUUUUGUCAGGGAGGAAAUCCCUAGUGCUAAUAACACUGGGGGAUGACAGUACCUGAAGAAUAAGCACCGGCUAACUACGUGCCAGCCGCCGCGGUAA